GUCAGAUCAGAUUAGGUUGUUGGGUCGUACCAAGCAGCGGGGGGAAGGGGGGCAGCGUGGGCAGUUGGAUCAUUCCCACCAGUUUCCCUCCGAGCACGGCACAGAUGAAGAGGAUGACGAUGCCGAACAGGUUCCCUCCAGCGUGUUCGGUACCUUUGGUGAUGAGCAGGCUGACGAGUCCCUGAGGCCGAGGACAUCUGUCCUUCAGACUGACACAAGACGAACAGCAGGAGGACGAGUUCGCCGCUGCCAUCUUUAUCUGAACACACCGAGACACAGGGACAUGUCGUCCGGAUCGUCCGUCUUCCUCUGCGGCAGGACGGUGAUCUCUCUCUCCUCCUGACUGACCUGGACUUUACUCCCUCCCUUUACCGCAGUCUUACCUUUGACUGAUGCAGAGCUGUGUGACUGGAACAAAGAGGCAAAGACGACUGACAACUUAGUCAUCAACCAGCAACAAGACUCAGAGAGAUUUUCCCCUGAUGGUCCAAAGCUGUUAGGGCAGAUGUUACCAUGCAGGAGUCGACGGUUCCAGCGUCGUAGCCGGCACAAAGCAUCCUGGGAGUGAUGGUCUUCAUGUCGAAAUAAGACUGACACUGAGACAGCGAGAUGAUCCGAACCUCCCCUUCCUGCAGCUUAAAGGGCACUAGACAAACACACAAAGAGAUUUCAUCCCAAACGUCAGUGAAGGCAUCGGAUGGGAACUGAGGUGGAUUCAGGACUAUGGAGCAGCACAGGCCGAUGCUAUCGGAAUUACUGUUAUAACUGAUAAAGGGAACAACUUCAUCCACAGGAGGAUGAUAAAGACUGCAGCUCUUCAUACAACAGAAGAAGAUGGAUGAAGAUAUUGGAAUAAGCAUCAAUGUCACUCGACUAAUCUCUCUGCUGCUGGGAUGAAGAGGAGCACCAACAUUUUUUUCAUUCUGGACAAACAGGGUCAAACCAGACAAGUCAAUCAGCUCUCUUGAAGCUUUCUAUGAACUUUAAGGAACAAUGAGAUGCUCCACAGCACAUCCACCAUUUUUGGGAUAUUGUCAGUGAUUUAGAAUUCCUCUUUCUUAUUUAAUACAAUGGAAGUGAUCUGUUUUGUCCAAGCCAACAUGCUUGUUAGGCUUAUAUACAACUAAUUAAUGGUUUUUCUUUCUGGCAAAUCACUUCAUCCAAAAUGCACUCAGUAAAUGUUUUGUGAAAAACCAAAUAUAUGACAACAUUCUGCCUGAAAAUAAUGAUGCUGUAAUUAAGCUUGUAACUAAACGAUUGUUAAUAAACCUAAAUUUCAAUCA